rnacentral:rRNA from 1 species
CGGUCCAGUCGGAAGUUUGAUCCCAAAACGGGAGGGCGAGGCUCUUUCGUUUGUCGAGCUCGAGGAGGCUAAGGCGGGCGGAGGCAAGGAGGCGUAGAAGGGCCGGCGGCGGUUCUACUUCGAGNNGUCCAAGAACUACUUCGACUUGUUGCUCUGCCAGUGGUAGCUCGAGUUCUUGCCGUGAUGGCAGGUGCCGUGGUAGUGACCACAACUGUAUUCGUACUUAUGAGUAGACUUCUGGCAUUUCGAGUGUUACUUUCCCUUCUUAGGACAUUGGGAACUAGUGUAGUCGCACUCUCCUUUGUUGUAAGCCAUGAUGUAGGAGGGACUAUCGAAUUUGGACCUUUGCAACGACCAACUCCUAUGGGGGUCCCAGUUCAGAUUCUUCGGUUGAUGUCCCUUCGGAUACCCAGCCCCAGCACCUGCGCCGGCACCCGCACCAGCGCCGGCCCCCGCGACUCGAAAUAACAAGGGACGAAACCUUCGAGCACGUCACGUUCAGGGAUGUCGCAUUGGACGAAGGAGACGCUCGAUACAGCUUCUAACAAAGACAAGACAAUCUUCUACAGUUAGAUUCGGAGGUCUGAAAACUUUACGAUUCACCGUAGGACACGGCAAUGAACAAUGGGACCUUAAGAACGGGAACACGAAAACGCAUCGUCAUUCAACACAAACUCAUCUUCGACUGGGAAAAAGAAGACACCGUUACGAACUCUAAUUUGACCCGACCCCCGUGACCGUAAAGUCUAAUGCGUAACUAUAUAAGUAGACUUAGUACGUGGACAGGUGUUAAGAGCGUACAUACGACGCUACAAUCCGAACUAGUGAAAGACACUAAACUAAAAGACGGGCCACACCAAAUCAAAGGAUAUUCAAACCUUGUUUAACUUAGUAGUAAAAAUGAACGUUACAGAUG